ensembl:snRNA U4 U4 spliceosomal RNA
AGCUUUGCACAGUGGUAGUAUCAUAGCCACUGAGGUCUGAGAUGCAAUCAUUGCUCACUGAAAACUUUCCCCCAAAACUCUGUCAUGAUGACUUGCAAUGUAGUUGACACUGGUAAUUUUUCACAGUCUCUAAGGAGA